GGAAACCGGUGAGAACCCGGUGCGGUCGCGCCACUGUGAACGACAUCCGCCCAGGGUGCCGUGAGUCAGGACGC
rnacentral:ncRNA from 2 species